CAUUAUUUUAAUUAAAUAUAUUAUAUUUUAUUUCACUUACCCAAAACGAAAACACGAUUUCAGCCAUACUUUUCCGUCUUCUUUGCUUUUUAUCGCCGAAUCUGGCAAAUAUCAUCCAGUUGUUGUACUUCUACAUAAUCAUGAAUGUUGUUUUAUUGUUUACGUUUAAUAUUUCAUAUCUCUUGAAAGUUGAUUUCUCAUCUCGGUAACGAAUGCUAGUGUUUUCAUGAGUUGCUCAUGGUAGAUAUACAUCCUAAAGUUUCAAAUGCUGUAAAAUAUGAUAGCAUGAAUAUUAUUAGUCUGGAAGGGUCAUCUUUUAGAAAUUCGUGGAAGGGCGAAAUUAGCAAGAAAUUUGGGAAGCAAUUUAGGCGAUGCUAGACGUAUUUGACAUGUUAUGGCCUUUCGACGACUUGAGCCGCAUAAUAACACCAUUUUUAGCGAUCUUGUUUGCGUCGUGUGUUUCAGAUAUUAAACAUGUUUAUAUCGUUAGUUCUUCAGUAAAGCGCAAUAAAUUAUAUUAUGCCAUCAUUAAAUGUUCAAUAUCUUACUCCUCUAAAGUGUAAAUUUACGAAUACCAAAAUUGUUGUAUUCACGGAAGGAUAAAAUUAACACAACCGGGCCGUGCGUGAAAUUAGACAGUUCAACUUUGCGCGAG